rfam:Cicer arietinum chromosome Ca1, whole genome shotgun sequence.
AUGAGACGUGAUGAUGUUUAUCCAUCGAUUCUGUACUUGAAUGAAGAAUAAGAACAUGCACUACCAUCUGAUCUCUU